GCGACCCCAGGUCAGGCGGNAC
rnacentral:rRNA from 1 species